UUCGCAAUGCCCGAAAGGGUGACGAAGCGACGCCGCGUGCGGGAAGAAGGCCUUCGGGUUGUAAACCGCUGUCGGGAGUUAAGAAAUGUAAGGAUGUUAAUAGCAUCUUUGCUUGACUAAGGCUCCGGAGGAAGCCACGGCUAACUCUGUGCCAGCAGCCGCGGUAAUACAGAGGCGGCAAGCGUUGUUCGGAAUUAUUGGGCGUAAAGAGCACGUAGGCGGCCUUGUGAGUCAGUUGUGAAAGCCUUCUGCUUAACGGAAGAACAGCAGCUGAUACUGCAAGGCUAGAGUGCGGAAGGGGAGAGUGGAACUUCUGGUGGAGCGGUGAAAUGCGUAGAUAUCAGAAGGAACACCGGCGGCGAAGGCGACUCUCUGGUCCGUAACUGACGCUGAGUGUGCGAAAGCUAGGGGAGCAAACGGGAUUAGAUACCCCGGUAGUCCUAGCCGUAAAC
rnacentral:rRNA from 1 species